UCUCUGAGUCGCUCUUUGUUUUUCUCGCAGCUGGCUGUGGUCAUGUGGCUGCUGACCUACGUAGGAGCCGUCUUUAAUGGAAUCACCAUCCUCAUCCUGGCCGACGUCCUGCUCUUCACGGUGCCUCCCGUCUACGAGAAGAACAAGACUCAGAUUGAUCAAUAUAUCGACCUGGCACGUACUCAAGUCAACACUACUAUUGCCAAGCUACAAGAGAAACUCCCAGGAGCUGUGAAGCGCAGCAAAACUGAAUGAUCCCCCAAACCAAGCACCACGUCCCCAUCAUCUUCAUGUUCAUCACCAUAUCUUCCCUCCCUUAUCCCAGUCUCCCGUCUAACUCCUCCUCCCCACACCGUCCACCAUCAGCACCCUACUACACUGAAACUUCCUAGAUAGAAAAUCUCUGAGCUACUCAAUAAUCAACUACUGUGCAGCUUAACUUGCAAGCAUUAGAAAAGAACUGUGCCUGUGCAGACAGGAAGCACAUAGCAAGCGAGGAAGUGGCGUAACGGCACGACGUACCCCGCCCGGCCGUGGACGCGCCGCGGGGGAACGGAGACGGGAUCGAGUGAACUAGACUGAAUCUAUGACCUGGUUUUGUCUCGUGCAGCGAGCAGAGGGUGUACGAUGGCAGCUGAUGUCACAAAAUAGCAAAUGUCUGUACUCGAGCCGCAUGUUUGCCUGAAGGUAAACGGCAACGUCGUCUCCAAGUAAAAAGUCGGCAUCCUUUUGGGUGGUAACAAGUUUCCAUUCAGCGUACAGACACUUGUCUAUGUAAGUAGUUUCUGAAAUGCACUGAACUUUAUUUUUUCAUGAGCAGGUUGAAAUAAAAAGGAUGGGAACUCUGAGCCAGCUGUGAUAAUUUGGUCUAGUUCACCUUCUUCUGAUCAGAUGUAGGUUUGUGUGUUAGAGCCUCGCGUUCUAAAGGAAAGUUCCCGUGCUCCCGUUCCAGCCACAGAGUGUUGAGUUCUCACAUUCACUUGUAAAUUUUGAUUCUUCUUCUCACUUAUUACUGCUCUUGGUAUUAAUUAUACAUUAGCUGCUUGAACUCCCUACUAGCUUGACAGUAGCAAUGUAAGAGUUAUGUUAAGUGUUUUUGAGCUUCAUAAGUUAAACGUGGAGGUCUGUCAGAAGCCUCUCGAGACAUGGAUUCCUGAUUAUGAACUAGGUUAAGCAGCACACGCUCGGAGCUGUGCCACGACCCUUAAAUCGAACGUCCCCGGCUAACUUUGCAGACGAUUGUUUUGUUGAGUUUCAAAAUGACAAAGUGUCAAAUGUUUGAAUCUUCCAGCAUUGUCGUGUCUUUUAGUUUGUAACUCGACUUUAUUAAAUGUAAUGUUGCUUUAGCUUUGGUGCAUUUUAAAAACGUCUUAUUAAUAUCGUUUGGGAAAUCUCACUCGUGCGAUGCGUCGGCUGCGAGAUUAGAGCGUAGGUGUGGGUUUGUAUAAACAGGCGAGUGCGUUUUGAAUGUAGUGUUGCUGGAGGAGAGGGGGCGGGUUACUGCAGAGCUCUGUGUGUCAUCUUGUUUUUCUUCGACUGCCGUGAAGCGCAGGUGUAAGCUGGAGUGUUUCUAUAGGCUGUAUCAUAUUCUUGAUCCUGACUUUGGUUUAAUAUGAAUACUCGUGAUUGUUAUUAUGGUGUUUUUGAUCUCCUGUGUCGGCACUACUGCUUAAUCUCCGUAUUAAUUUAAGGGAUGAAUAUGUGGAUGGAAACGAGACAUCGUGUGUGUUAGUGUUGCUUCGUCGUGCAAGUCUGCUCAUCUCCUGAACGUACCCAACGGCCGGCGGCGAGAGGCCGCCCCUGCCUCGUGUGCUCACCGCUCCCCAUGCAUGUCCUCUGUGUGUUGACUCCUUGUGCAUGCGCCGGUGUCUUGUUCGCACUGUGGGCGAGC